ACAGCCGCCGCACGCACGCACGCACGCACACCGAGGCCGAGCCGGUUCGUCCCGCGCCCCUGGUCAACCCCGUGCAACCUAGGGACACUGUAUGCGAGCCCAACUGCUUGAGGGACCCCGCACCCCCUCCUCGAUCUUCCUCGUUGCCGCACGCGGGAGCUAGGGCGAAAUGGAUCUCGCACCGGAGCUCCGCUGUCCGCCGUCUUCGCUGGAGGAUUCCACCGCCCGGAGCGAGCCGCCCGAGCGAACCCGACGCCGUCGGAGCAACGGCUGUUCACGUCGUCACCGUCGGCCGCAGAGCACGCCCCGUCGUCGUUUGACCUCACCACUGCGUCCGCAACUCGAAGCCGCCUCCGCCCGUCACCUCACCUUCGCCGGAGACCCACCAGAGAAGCCACCGCCGCCGACGCCCGACCACCGCCGCCGUUUCUCCCCUGUUCUGAUUGUCCGGAGUGCGACGCGAGCUAUUGUCAGGAGUGUGACUUUCUGAACCAGAACCAAG